rnacentral:rRNA from 1 species
GACGAACGCUGGCGGCGUGCUUAACACAUGCAAGUCGAACGAUGAAGCUAGGGUUUGCUCUGGUGAAUUAGUGGCGAACGGGUGAGUAACACGUGAGUAACCUGCCCCGAACUCUGGGAUAACUGCUGGAAACGGUAGCUAAUACUGGAUACGACCUACGAAGGCAUCUUCUGUAGGUGGAAAGAAUUUCGGUUCGGGAUGGACUCGCGGCCUAUCAGCUGGUUGGUGAGGUAAUGGCUCACCAAGGCGACGACGGGUAGCCGGCCUGAGAGGGUGACCGGCCACACUGGGACUGGGACACGGCCCAGACUCCUACGGGAGGCAGCAGUGGGGAAUAUUGCACAAUGGGCGCAAGCCUGAUGCAGCAACGCCGCGUGAGGGAUGACGGCCUUCGGGUUGUAAACCUCUUUUAGUAGGGAAGAAGCGAAAGUGACGGUACCUGCAGAAAAAGCACCGGCUAACUACGUGCCAGCCGCCGCGGUAA